rnacentral:rRNA from 1 species
GAUGAACGCUGGCGGCGUGCCUAAUACAUGCAAGUCGAGCGAAUGGAUUAAGAGCUUGCUCUUAUGAAGUUAGCGGCGGACGGGUGAGUAACACGUGGGUAACCUGCCCAUAAGACUGGGAUAACUCCGGGAAACCGGGGCUAAUACCGGAUAAUAUUUUGAACUGCAUGGUUCAAAAUUGAAAGGCGGCUUCGGCUGUCACUUAUGGAUGGACCCGCGUCGCAUUAGCUAGUUGGUGAGGUAACGGCUCACCAAGGCAACGAUGCGUAGCCGGCCGGAGAGGGUGAUCGGCCACACUGGGACUGAGACACGGCCCAGACUCCUACGGGAGGCAGCAGUAGGGAAUCUUCCGCAAUGGACGAAAGUCUGACGGAGCAACGCCGCGUGGGUGAUGAAGGCUUUCGGGUCGUAAAACUCUGUUGUUAGGGAAGAACAAGUGCUAGUUGAAUAAGCUGGCACCUUGACGGUACCUAACCAGAAAGCCACGGCUAACUACGUGCCAGCAGCCGCCGCCG